rnacentral:rRNA from 1 species
AUUGAACGCUGGCGGCAGGCCUAACACAUGCAAGUCGAGCGGAUGAAGGGAGCUUGCUCCUGGAUUCAGCGGCGGACGGGUGAGUAAUGCCUAGGAAUCUGCCUGGUAGUGGGGGAUAACGUCCGGAAACGGGCGCUAAUACCGCAUACGUCCUGAGGGAGAAAGUGGGGGAUCUUCGGACCUCACGCUAUCAGAUGAGCCUAGGUCGGAUUAGCUAGUUGGUGGGGUAAAGGCCUACCAAGGCGACGAUCCGUAACUGGUCUGAGAGGAUGAUCAGUCACACUGGAACUGAGACACGGUCCAGACUCCUACGGGAGGCAGUAGUGGGGAAUAUUGGACAAUGGGCGGAAGCCUGAUCCAGCCAUGCCGCGUGUGUGAAGAAGGUCUUCGGAUUGUAAAGCACUUUAAGUUGGGAGGAAGGGCAGUAAGUUAAUACCUUGCUGUUUUGACGUUACCAACAGAAUAAGCACCGGCUAACUUCGUG